CUUCAGCGCUCCGAGUGUUUAUAGCGUUCAGACUCCAACACUUUAUAACACACUGCUGUUUACCACGGUACAAAACCAACAAACACAAUGAAUCUCUUCAGCAGCUUCAUCUGGAUUCUGGCAGCUUUUAUUCCAGCAUCCAGAGGAAUCACUGUGACUCAGCCUGAAGCUGUGACUGUUUCUGAAGGACAAGACGCCACUAUAGAGUGUAAAACUGAUCCUGAAAUAAGUGGCUGGGGUUUAGCUUGGUAUCAGCAGAAACCUGGAGAAACUCCUAAACUCAUCAUUACUGGAGUAAAUGAUCUCUAUGAUGAGAGUUUCAGUCGAUUCAGUGGGAAUGGAGCACGAGGUGGAACUGAUUUCACUCUGACCAUCAGUGGAGUCCAGACGGUUUGGUGA